CCCAGUGGUCAUCGGCUGCCUGGCCCAGGACUUCGUACCAUCAAAGCACACGAACAUGACCUGGGACAGCAGCAGGCCGGGCACUUCCAUCAGCACUGUCCUCCCCAUGUUCACCUCCCGGGGCCUCUAUGCCAUGGUCAGCCAGCUGACCCUGCCGGCCAGCCAGUGCCCAGCGAGCGGGACCCUGAAGUGCCACAUGCAGUACAACUCCAGCCUGAGCCAGACCAAGGACGUGCCCUGCAAAGGUCAGAGCCGACAUCCUCAUGCUGCCAGCCUGGCCUGACCCUGCGCCCACCGGCCCUUGAGGACCUGCUGCUGAGCUCCGAUGCCAACCUGACGUGUACGCUGAGUGGCCUGAGAGAGCCCCAGGGUGCCAGCUUUGCCUGGCAGCCCACGGGUGGAAAAGAGGCCAUCCAGCAGGCCCCGCAACGCGACCCCUGCGGCUGCUACAGCGUGUCCAGCAUCCUGCCGGGCUGCGCUGAGCCGUGGAACCGCGGGCAGAGGUUCUCCUGCACCGCCGCCCACCCAGAGGUCACCAGCCCGCUCACCGCCACCAUCGCCAGAGCCUCAGGGAGCACCCUACCCCCCAAGGUCCACCUGCUGCCGCCACCCGCGGAAGAACUGGCCAUCAAUGAGCUGGCAACGCUGACGUGUGUGGUUCAGGGCUUCUACCCUGAAGACGUGCUGGUGCGGUGGCUGCACGAGAGCCAGGAGCUUCCCCGAGAGAAGUACCAGACUUGGAGGCCCCUGCCCGAGGCCGGCCAGGGUGGCACCAGGUUCAUCACAACUAGUGUGCUGCGUGUGGACAUGGAGGCGUGGAAGAACGGGGACAACUACUCCUGCAUGGUGGGCCACGAGGCUCUGCCCCUGAGCUUCACACAGAAGACUAUCAACCGCCUGGCGGGUAAACCCACCCACGUCAAUGUGUCUGUGAUCAUGUCCGAGGUGGACGGCAUCUGCUACUGAGCUGCCCACCCCCACCUGCCCCGCCCUUGAAUAAACUCCGCUCGCCCGAA